rnacentral:rRNA from 1 species
GAUGAACGCUGGCGGCGUGCCUAACACAUGCAAGUCGAGCGAACAGACGAGGAGCUUGCUCUUCUGACGUUAGCGGCUGACGGGUGAGUAACACGUGGAUAACCUACCUAUUUUACUGGGAUAACUUCGGGAAGCAGGUGCUACUACUGCAUCAUAUAUCGUACCGCAGGAAUCAAUAGUGAAUGACGGCUUUGCUGUCUCAUAUAGACGGUUCCGCGCGGCAUUGGUUAGUUGGUAAGGUAACGCCUUACCAAGGCAACGAUGCUUAGCCGACCUGAGAGAGUAAUCGGCCACACUGGAACUGGAACACGGCCCAGACCCUUACGGGGGGCAGCAGUAGGGAAUCUGCCGCAAUGGGCGAAAGCUUGACCAGGCAACGCCGCGUGAGGGAUGAAGCUCUUCGGUUCGUAAAACUCUUUUAUGAGGAAAGAACAAAUGUGUAAGUAACGAUGCACGUCUGGACGGUACCAAAGCAGAAAGCCACGGCUACCUACGU